rnacentral:rRNA from 1 species
GACAGGAGCCUCAAGCGUUAGGCGGAAUCACUGGCUUAAAGCGUGUGUAGGCGGAUCGUUAAGUGUCUUGUGGAAAUCCCCACGGCUCACCCGUGGAACUGCUUGGUAUACUGGGGUCGCUUGAGCCAUCCAGGGGCAACUGGAACAAGCGGUGGAGCGGUGAAAUGCGUAGAGUAUCGCUUGGAACGCCAAAGGUAGAAAACAGGUUGCUGGGGGAUGUGCUGACACUGAGACGCGAAAGCCAGGGGAGCGAACGGG